rnacentral:sRNA from 1 species
CUGCCACUUCCGGAGUACUGCGCCCUCCAUGGAAAACUCAACCUGGCUUCCUACCUCCCACCGGGCCUUGCCCUGCGUCCACUGGAGCCCCAGCUCUGGGCAGCCUAUGGUGUGAGCCCGCACCGGGGACACCUGGGGACCAAGAACCUCUGUGUGGAGGUGGCCGACCUGGUCAGCAUCCUGGUGCACGCCGACGCACCACUGCCUGCCUGGCACCGGGCACAGAAAGACUUCCUUUCAGGCCUGGACGGGGAGGGGCUCUGGUCUCCGGGCAGCCAGGUCAGCACUGUGUGGCACGUGUUCCGGGCACAGGACGCCCAGCGCAUCCGCCGCUUUCUCCAGAUGGUGAGGAGGCAGCCGGGAGCCCUCCCCUUCCCCCCGCCCAGCCCUAGAAGCUCGUCCAGUCCCACCCCAGUGUGCGGUCCCGUGUGCUCGCUCCCCGCCCCACGCCCUCAGGUGAGCUGCACAGACCCAACUCGCACAGACAGGUGCAGAGAAGGCAGAGGGGACCCGGAGUUCUGCCGUGGGGCCCAGAGAAGGGGCAGGGGCUGCGGCAGGAGAGC